rfam:Thioclava pacifica DSM 10166 contig6, whole genome shotgun sequence.
GUCCUCGAUCUGCUGCGGGCAGAUGAAAUGGAUAUGCGCGUCGAACCCGCCAGCGGUCAGGAUUUUCCCUUCGCCCGCAAUGGCUUCGGUGCCCGGCCCGAUGAUGAUGUCGACAUUCGGCUGGGUGUCGGGAUUGCCCGCCUUGCCGAUCGCGACGAUCUGCCCACCCUUGAGGCCCACGUCGGCCUUGUAGAUGCCGGUAUGGUCCACGAUCAGCGCGUUGGUGAUCACGGUGUCGACCGCGCCGCCCGCGCGGGAGAUCUGGCUCUGGCCCAUCCCGUCGCGGAU